rnacentral:rRNA from 1 species
UACGGAGGGUGCAAGCGUUAUCCGGAUUCACUGGGUUUAAAGGGUGCGUAGGUGGGUUGGUAAGUCAGUGGUGAAAUCCCCGAGCUUAACUUGGGAACUGCCAUUGAUACUAUCAGUCUUGAAUACCGUGGAGGUCAGUGGAAUAUGUCAUGUAGCGGUGAAAUGCGUAGAUAUCGAGAGGAACACCUGCGGCGAAGGCGGGUUGCUGGGCUGAUACUGACGCUGAGGCGCGAAAGCCAGGGGAGCGAACGGG